rnacentral:rRNA from 1 species
UGGCUCAGAUUGAACGCUGGCGGCAGGCCUAACACAUGCAAGUCGAGCGGAAACGAUCCUAGCUUGCUAGGAGGCGUCGAGCGGCGGACGGGUGAGUAAUGCAUAGGAAUCUGCCCGGUAGUGGGGGAUAACUUGAGGAAACUCAAGCUAAUACCGCAUACGCCCUACGGGGGAAAGCAGGGGCUCUUCGGACCUUGCGCUAUCGGAUGAGCUUAUGUCGGAUUAGCUGGUUGGUGAGGUAACGGCUCACCAAGGCGACGAUCCGUAGCUGGUCUGAGAGGAUGAUCAGCCACAUCGGGACUGAGACACGGCCCGAACUCCUACGGGAGGCAGCAGUGGGGAAUAUUGGACAAUGGGGGCAACCCUGAUCCAGCCAUGCCGCGUGUGUGAAGAAGGCCCUCGGGUUGUAAAGCACUUUCAGCGAGGAAGAAUGCUUGUCGGUUAAUACCCGGCAAGGGAGACAUCACUCGCAGAAGAAGCACCGGCUAACUCCGUGCCAGCAGCCGCGGUAAUACGGAGGGUGCGAGCGUUAAUCGGAAUUACUGGGCGUAAAGCGUGCGUAGGCGGCUUGAUAAGCCGGUUGUGAAAGCCCCGGGCUCAACCUGGGAACGGCAUCCGGAACUGUUAGGCUAGAGUGCAGGAGAGGAAGGUAGAAUUCCCGGUGUAGCGGUGAAAUGCGUAGAGAUCGGGAGGAAUACCAGUGGCGAAGGCGGCCUUCUGGACUGACACUGACGCUGAGGUACGAAAGCGUGGGUAGCAAACAGGAUUAGAUACCCUGGUAGUCCACGCCGUAAACGAUGUCGACUAGCCGUUGGGGUCCUCGAGACCUUUGUGGCGCAGUUAACGCACUAAGUCGACCGCCUGGGGAGUACGGCCGCAAGGUUAAAACUCAAAUGAAUUGACGGGGGCCCGCACAAGCGGUGGAGCAUGUGGUUUAAUUCGAUGCAACGCGAAGAACCUUACCUACCCUUGACAUCGUGCGAACUUUCCAGAGAUGGAUUGGUGCCUUCGGGAGCGCACAGACAGGUGCUGCAUGGCUGUCGUCAGCUCGUGUUGUGAAAUGUUGGGUUAAGUCCCGUAACGAGCGCAACCCUUGUCCCUAUUUGCCAGCGAUUCGGUCGGGAACUCUAGGGAGACUGCCGGUGA